rnacentral:rRNA from 1 species
GACGAACGCUGGCGGCGUGCUUAACACAUGCAAGUCGAACGGAAAGGCCCUGCUUUUGUGGGGUGCUCGAGUGGCGAACGGGUGAGUAACACGUGAGUAACCUGCCCUUGACUUUGGGAUAACUUCAGGAAACUGGGGCUAAUACCGGAUAGGAGCUCCUGCUGCAUGGUGGGGGUUGGAAAGUUUCGGCUGUUGGGGAUGGACUCGCGGCUUAUCAGCUUGUUGGUGGGGUAGUGGCUUACCAAGGCUUUGACGGGUAGCCGGCCUGAGAGGGUGACCGGCCACAUUGGGACUGAGAUACGGCCCAGACUCCUACGGGAGGCAGCAGUGGGGAAUAUUGCACAAUGGGCGGAAGCCUGAUGCAGCAACGCCGCGUGCGGGAUGACGGCCUUCGGGUUGUAAACCGCUUUCGCCUGUGACGAAGCGUGAGUGACGGUAGUGGGUAAAGAAGCACCGGCUAACUACGUG